AGACGAGAGACUGGUCGGGAAGACGAGACUUUUUUUCACCACUCGGGUCUUUCGAUGGCUCGUUGAAUCUGUGUGGUGAUCAGUGAUCUAGGAUGAAGGGAAGCUUCUCGAAUCUUGAUUCUUUUAAUUUUUCUUGCAGAAGGAAAUACGAUAAAUGUGAAUCAUUAUAUUUUAUACGAAAGUGUUAAAUAUUUGAAAUCUUUACGACGUAUCGUAUGAUUAAACACGUUCAAUCUUCUUACA